AGCUUUGCACAAUGGCAGUAUCGUAGCCAGAGGUUUGUCCGAGGUGCGAUUAUUGCUAAUUGAAAACUUUCCCCAAUACCCUGCCAUGAUGACUUGAAAUAUAGUCGGUGUUGACAAUUUUCUGGCAGUCUCUACGGAAA
ensembl:snRNA U4 U4 spliceosomal RNA